rnacentral:rRNA from 1 species
GAUGAACGCUGGCGGCGUGCCUAAUACAUGCAAGUCGAGCGAACAGACGAGGAGCUUGCUCCUCUGACGUUAGCGGCGGACGGGUGAGUAACACGUGGAUAACCUACCUAUAAGACUGGGAUAACUUCGGGAAACCGGAGCUAAUACCGGAUAAUAUAUUGAACCGCAUGGUUCAAUAGUGAAAGACGGUUUUGCUGUCACUUAUAGAUGGAUCCGCGCCGCAUUAGCUAGUUGGUAAGGUAACGGCUUACCAAGGCGACGAUGCGUAGCCGACCUGAGAGGGUGAUCGGCAACACUGGAACUGAGACACGGUCCAGACUCCUACGGGAGGCAGCAGUAGGGAAUCUUCAGCAAUGGGCGAAAGCCUGACGGAGCAACGCCGCGUGAGUGAUGAAGGUCUUCGGAUCGUAAAACUCUGUUAUUAGGGAAGAACAAAUGUGUAAGUAACUAUGCACGUCUUGACGGUACCUAAUCAGAAAGCCACGGCUAACUACGUG